rnacentral:sRNA from 1 species
AGACCUAUCGCGACAUCAUCCUCUCGAACAGCAUGGACUUCACCGACGUCAUCAAGUUCUUCAACGAAAUGGCGGAGCGCCACAACGCCCAGUCGAUCCUGCAGCUGUCCAGGAGCCUGGUCCUCCAGCUUCAGACGAUCAUCGAGAACAAGUAGACGGGGAGGGACACAUCGUCAGCCAUCAGUGAGCCAUCGUCAGUUCCUGGAGACCUCAGUUGCCGAUCAGUAUUGAGCAUGCGACGUACUAAGUUGUUAGCACCUAGAACGUAGAAUCGUAGAAUCGCAGUUAGAAAGCGCUUAGGGGUAUAUAGCCAACCACAAAGCAUAUGCCUACCACAUACCCUCUAACAUAUACCCUACAACAUAUAUGCAUACAUACAUAACAUAUAACGCAUAGCAUAUGAAUAACCCUAGAGAUUGCAAUUAGCUGAGGAUCUCGCUGUGGUUUUUGGGACGCCUCCCGUAAUCCGCAAUGGUUUUUUUUUGGAAACGGCUGGGAAUCGCUUAAAGAAAUUUAACACAAUUAAGGAAAUUGUAGUGACCUGAAAAACACAAGAAAGUAAAUCAAGUGGAAAUCGAACAACGUAAAAGAUAAACUAUUUAUACUUAUACAAUA